GUGGAUGCCUUGGCGUCAAGAGGCGAUGAAGGACGUGACACGCUGCGAUAAGCCGUGGGGAGCUGCGAGUGAGCUUUGAUCCAUGGAUUUCCGAAUGGGGAAACCCACCCGUAAGGGUAUCUUCAACUGAAUACAUAGGUUGGAGAGGCGAACCCGGUGAACUGAAAUAUCUCAUUAGCCGGAGGAAAGGACAUCAACCGAGACUCCGUUAGUAGUGACGAGCGAACGCGGACUAGGCCAGUGGCCAUGCGAUACAAACCAGAAGCGGAUGGAAAGCCGCGCCAGAGUGGGUGAUAGCCCCGUAUGGGUAAGGUGUCGUUUGGUCCUUGAGUAGGGCGGGGCACGUGAAACCUUGUCUGAACAUGGGGGGACCACCCUCCAAGCCUAAGUACUCCUUGACGACCGAUAGUGGACAAGUACCGUGAGGGAAAGGUGAAAAGCACCCCGAUGAGGGGAGUGAAAGAGACCUGAAACCGGAUGCCUACAAACAGUCGGAGCCUCCUUGUGGGGUGACGGCGUACCUUUUGUAUAAUGGGUCAGCGAGUUAGUCUUACGAGCAAGCUUAAGCCGAUAGGUGUAGGCGUAGCGAAAGCGAGUCUGAAUAGGGCGCCUUAGUUCGUGGGAUUAGACCCGAAACCGAGUGAUCUAGCCAUGGGCAGGUUGAAGGUGCGGUAACACGCACUGGAGGACCGAACCCACCGACGUUGAAAAGUCGGGGGAUGACCUGUGGUUAGGGGUGAAAGGCCAAUCAAACUCGGAUAUAGCUGGUUCUCCGCGAAAUCUAUUUAGGUAGAGCGUCGUGUAUUACCGCCGGGGGUAGAGCACUGGAUGGGCUAGGGGGGCGCGAGCCUUACCAAACCUAACCAAACUCCGAAUACCGGUGAGUACAGCACGGCAGACAGACUAUGGGUGCUAAGGUCCAUGGUCGAGAGGGAAACAGCCCAGACCUCCAGCUAAGGCCCCUAAGUGGUGGCUAAGUGGGAAAGGAUGUGGGAAGGCCAUGACAACCAGGAGGUUGGCUUAGAAGCAGCCAUCCUUUAAAGAAAGCGUAACAGCUCACUGGUCUAAUUAAGCCGGCCUGCGCCGAAGAUGUACCGGGGCUCAAGCCACCCGCCGAAGCUGAGGGCGUGCCUAGCACGCGGUAGCGGAGCGUUCCGUAAGCCUGUGAAGGCGGUCCGAAAGGACCGCUGGAGGUAUCGGAAGUGAGAAUGCUGACAUGAGUAGCGAUAAAGAGUGUGAGAAACACUCUCGCCGAAAGUCCAAGGGUUCCUGCGCCAGGUUAAUCCGCGCAGGGUCAGUCGGCCCCUAAGGCGAGGGCGAAAGCCGUAGUCGAUGGGAAUCAGGUUAAUAUUCCUGAACCUGGUGGGAUGUGACGGAUGCUGGCCGUCGUGCGAACUUAUCGGAUUGUUCGUGCGGCCUAGGUGUCCCAGGAAAUAGCCCCACCGUUUAGACCGUACCCGAAACCGACACAGGUGGACAGGUAGAGUAUACCAAGGCGCUUGAGAGAAUGGCAUUGAAGGAACUCGGCAAAAUGCCCCCGUAACUUCGGGAGAAGGGGGACCUCCUUUUGGGCAACCAGAGGGGGGUGGCACAGACCAGGGGGUGGCGACUGUUUAUUAAAAACACAGGGCUCUGCGAAGUCUCGAGACGACGUAUAGGGUCUGACGCCUGCCCGGUGCCGGAAGGUUAAGAGGAGGGGUGAGAGCUCCGAAUCGAAGCCCCGGUAAACGGCGGCCGUAACAAUAACGGUCCUAAGGUAGCGAAAUUCCUUGUCGGGUAAGUUCCGACCUGC
rnacentral:rRNA from 1 species